UACGGAGGGGACUAGCGUUGUUCGGAAUUACUGGGCGUAAAGCGCGCGUAGGCGGAUUUGCAAGUCGGGGGUGAAAUCCCGAGGCUCAACCUCGGAACUGCCUUCGAUACUGCAAAUCUCGAGUCCGGAAGAGGUGAGUGGAAUUCCUAGUGUAGAGGUGAAAUUCGUAGAUAUUAGGAAGAACACCAGUGGCGAAGGCGGCUCACUGGCCCGGUACUGACGCUCAUGUGCGAAAGCGUGGGGAGCAAACAGG
rnacentral:rRNA from 1 species